AUGAGGGGAGCGGGGCGAAGCUGGGGGGACAGCGGGAGCCUCGGCGGGCGGCAGAGGGCGCCCCGAAUUCCGCCAGAGAGGGGCCGGGAGGAGCCUCCGGCUCGGCUCGGCCGAGGAGGGAGGGAGGAAAGGAGGAGAAGGAGGAGGAGGAGGAGGAGGAGGGAGCUGCCACGUCCUCUGCGCCGAGCGGCGCCAGCCCCGCGCCUCACUCAGCCCCACGUGUGGCGGAGCGGGGGAAGUUGCGGCGGGGAGCCCGGACUCUGCCCCUCGCUGGCCGCCUGUCCCUGCUCUCAGGAGGGCGCAGCUCCGAGAGAAAUUCAGCACGAAGAGGCCUUCUGACAGGUUUUGGCCUUAGCAGCCGUUAGAAGCGCAGGAGAGGAAGAAUUAAGAGGAAGAGCUGCAGUGUGCAGAGUCUGAAGAAUUACCAUCAGUAUUUCCAGUCCCCGUUUCGUGUGAUGUGAGGAGAAAGUUGACUGAGGAUGAAAUCUGAGAGCUAGAUAAGGCCCCACAAGCAGCAGAAAGCUUUCUGGGCUGUGCUCAGUCUUCUAAAAUACAGUUUAAGAAACAGCCAACAAAAUAUGUUUUCCAGGGGCUGAAAAGAUUUCUAGGUGGUGAUUCCUGUUCAUCUGUAAGCUUCAAAUGCAUUUGAUAAUCCCCAUAAAAUGUGAUUCAAAAGUAUUUUUAAGCUUAACCUUAUUUUAAUUAAAAAGAGGCAUCAUGGCAGGAUAUUCCACAUUGCAUGUUUGCUGAACCGCAUAUGCUAGCUAGAUAAAUGACAGGAAAUUUUUGCUCUCUGCUGUUUAUUUGCUGCUGUCUUUGGUGCCAAAUUUUAGUUGUUGCAGGGUUGUUUUCUUUGGGAAUUGAAUGGGGAUGCAUUUUUUGCUGAAUAUUUUCAUUCUGGGAAUGUUUUCAUUUGUCGUGUGAAAAUAAUAUGAUGCUGCGUUACCAAAAAUAAAGAAAAGUUAGGUUGUAGGCA
rnacentral:lncRNA from 1 species